rnacentral:rRNA from 1 species
GCGUCUGAUUAGCUAGUUGGUGGGGUAACGGCUCACCAAGGCGAUGAUCAGUAGCCGGACUGAGAGGUUGAUCGGCCACAUUGGGACUGAGACACGGCCCAGACUCCUACGGGAGGCAGCAGUGGGGGAUAUUGCACAAUGGAGGAAACUCUGAUGCAGCGACGCCGCGUGAGGGAAGAAGGUUUUCGGAUUGUAAACCUCUGUCUUCGGGGACGAAACAAAUGACGGUACUCGAGGAGGAAGCCACGGCUAACUACGUGCCAGCAGCCGCGGUAAUACGUAGGUGGCAAGCGUUGUCCGGAAUUACUGGGUGUAAAGGGAGCGCAGGCGGAACUGCAAGUUGGGUGUUUAAUCUACGGGCUCAACCCGUAUCAGCAUUCAAAACUGUGGUUCUUGAGUAAUGCAGAGGUAGGCGGAAUUCCCGGUGUAGCGGUGGAAUGCGUAGAUAUCGGGAGGAACACCAGUGGCGAAGGCGGCCUACUGGGCAUCAACUGACGCUGAGGCUCGAAAGCAUGGGUAGCAAACAGGAUUAGAUACCCUGGUAGUCCAUGCUGUAAACGAUGAUUACUAGGUGUGGGAAGAUUGACCCUUUCCGUGCCGCAGUUAACACAAUAAGUAAUCCACCUGGGGAGUACGACCGCAAGGUUGAAACUCAAAGGAAUUGACGGGGGCCCGCACAAGCAGUGGAGUAUGUGGUUUAAUUCGAAGCAACGCGAAGAACCUUACCAGGUCUUGACAUCCAACGACCGCCUAAGAGAUUAGGCUUUCCUUCGGGACGUUGAGACAGGUGGUGCAUGGUUGUCGUCAGCUCGUGUCGUGAGAUGUUGGGUUAAGUCCCGCAACGAGCGCAACCCUUGUCAUCAGUUGCUACGCAAGAGCACUCUGAUGAGACCGCCGGUG